GGCAUUUUCGGGUUUGGAUCAGAUUCGGGUCAACCCGAUCGGAUUUCGGGUUGAUCGGAUUGUUGAAAAUUUCAUCCGAACUUAAUCCGAACUCUUAACCCGAUUCGAUCCUAUCCAAAUUUAGUUCAGAGAGGAUCAGAUCUGGUCAAAAUCUUGGGUUAAAUUCGGUUUGGCUCGGGUUUGGAUAAUAUAAGGUUCGGAUCCGGAAAUUACUAAUUUAACAAUACAUAUUACACAUAUUAUUAACUAAUCAAGUAAUUACCAAUUUAACAUAUAAUCUAUAAUAUAUAAUAUAUUACUCAAUACAGUUAGACACAUUACAAGUUUACAACUAAUCAACUAUAUAUAUAUAUAUAUAUAUCAUUGAAUUGGAAGCUACAAAUUUCAAAAGGGAAAUUCGGGUUCGGGUUGCUGCUUUUCGAGUCCAGAUGGUGCUUGGAGGAACUUGGUGAUAUGGAGGCACGGAGCAGCAGAUCUGUAGGCGGUAGCAGCAGAUCUGUAGGCGGAAGCAACAAAUCCGGUUGGCGUUGGCGGUGGUGAUUGUGGACAGAAUGGGUUUGCUGCAUCUGGUGGUGCCACAACCACUUUCUUGAGUUUCUUCUGCAAUGUGUGCAUGUGUCCAACCGUGUGUGCGUGUCAUUGUUAUGUUUUUGUCUUCUUGACUCUUGAGAGUUGAGACUUGAGAGAGAGUUGAGAGAUGAGAACUGAAGUAGUGGAGUUAAGACUUGAGAGAGACGAGAGAUGAGAACUCUUGUGUUUUGACUUUUGAGUUUUGAGUGGCUAAGAUUGGUGUGACCGUGUGAAUGAGUGUGUCAUGUGUGAUGUGUGUAUACGCGAGUGUUGUGUGGUGUGUAAGUGUUGCGCGUGUGUUACUUUUUUUUUUUAAUUUUAGCCAACCCGAUCGGGUUUUCGGAUCGGAUCGGGUUUGACAAAAAAUCACCCGAUUGGGUAUUAUCCUCCAUCUGAUCCGAUCCUAACCCGAUUUUUUUCAGGUUGGAUCGGGUCGGAUCGGAUAAAAUACCCACCGCUACUUGGCUCACAUUAUUUAUUUUUAUUAUUUUUUAAUUUCAUUCAACCAAUGAAUUUAGACCACAUAAUUUGUAUAAAAAUAUUAACUAUUUA
rnacentral:lncRNA from 1 species